GAUGAACGCUGGCGGCGUGCCUAAUACAUGCAAGUCGAACGGGGUGUUUGAGCAAUCGAACACUUAGUGGCGAACGGGUGAGUAACGCGUUGGUGACCUGCCCCAAAGCGGGGGAUAACAGCCUGAAAGGGUUGCUAAUACCGCAUAUGAUCGAGAGAGACUAGAAACUCUUGAUUAAAGGAGAAAUCCACUUUGGGAGGGGCCUGCGUCCCAUCAGCUAGUUGGUAGGGUAAAAUCCUACCAAGGCUGCGAUGUUUAGGGGACCUGAGAGGGUGAUCCCCCA
rnacentral:rRNA from 1 species